UGGAACUCUACUACAUAGAAUAUAACACCAAUCAAAUGUGGAGUUUUCUAGCAGAAACAUUAUCAACCAUUACCUUAAUCCUUCCUGAGAAGAUGAAAGGGGCUUCCACAAAUUUAUAGAGGCAGAAAUUGACAGGUUAAAUUACCUUAUCUUCAUAUUCUGUAGUUUAGAGUCACACAAAUAGUUAACCUUAAAAAUAUUCUCUACAUCUUGGGAAAUGGCCCGGAAGGCCUUUCAACCUAGCCUAUCACCUAUCAUGGUGGGAGAAUAAAAACCAAGUUCUCCAGUGUGAGCUCAGAGCGUAUAUGCAAUGACUAGAAUUCUUCCAUUUCCAAGCAAAAAGGCUAGCAUACCGUACCCAAGGCCUUUCAACCUAGCCUAUCACCUAUUAUGGUGGGAGAAUAAAAAUCAAAUUCUCCACUGUGAGCUCAGCCUGUAUAUGCAAUGACUAGAAUGCUUCCAUUUCCAAGCAAAAAGGCUAGCAUAUCAUACCCAAGCCACCAAGCACCUCAAGCAACAUGAGAAGAAUAUAUGGCCUGAAAACAGAGGAAGAAAAAGUACCCAAGAGGAACUCAAUCGAAUGAAAGCACCAGCCACAAUACAAGUACAGCCCAUAGUUUCUUGUGUGGGAAUUCAUAAACAGGUUCAUGUAGAGGUUCAAACAGUUUUCUAACCCAAGAUUAAUCUAAUUUAAGCCCCAAAAGAUCUAGGUUUUGUGUUCUUAGACAUUCUAUUUUUCUAGUAAAAUUAUAUAUUGUCUUUGCAUUCAAUGAGGGGAAACAGGCACAAGGCACCAUCAGUAUAAUCAAAUUCAGUUUCGACUACUUAGCACCAAUAGCAAUACCACAAUACAGCAUCACUAAGGAUCAGCAGAUAACUUUCGAUCAGUCAGCUAUGAGCUUAAUUUCCACCAAUCCAUUUCGAAAAGAGAGGCAACUGAGAGUUCAUGGUUAGAAAAGAAAUACAACCUACCAACUCGAAACAUCUCAACAAGGUUAAGGAAACAAAAACACCUAGAACCUGGAAGCUCGGAGGCAACUGAAAACUAACCUCUCAAGAAAUUGGAUUGAGCAGCGUAAACAACUGGCUUUGGACAAGGUCUUACUACAGUUCUGAGCUUAGCAAGUUGGAGUCUUGACGUUAAAGAUUGCUCCCUUAACCUCAAAAUGGAGUUUGGGGAUAGAAACAGGGAGUGGGUGAAACCCGGAGUCUGGGUUUUGUAACAUUUUGGAGAAGAAAGCGAAACAGAACAAGGGUUUCUCAGCACAAGCAAAGAAUCCAUCCGACAUAUAAUUUUUCCUACUUUUAUAAGUUAGAAAAAGAAAACUCUGCCUGUAAUUAUAUUACUUGUGGGUUUUAAUCCAAACAAGACGAACAGAGAAUCUCAGAAGAACUCAUGGUCACAAAACAAAGAAUGGGAGGCAAGGGUCCACAUGAGUCUUAAACUCAAUUUCUCAUGACUUUUGUGAUCUAGGCUUGGGCUUGCACAAAGCAUGCUUUCUG
rnacentral:lncRNA from 1 species